rnacentral:rRNA from 1 species
CAGCCGCCGCGGUAAUACGGAGGGCGCGAGCGUUACCCGGAUUUACUGGGCGUAAAGGGCGUGUAGGCGGCCUGGGCGUCCCAUGUGAAAGGCCACGGCUCAACCGUGGAGGAGCGUGGGAUACGCUCAGGCUAGAGGGUGGGAGAGGGUGGUGGAAUUCCCGGAGUAGCGGUGAAAUGCGCAGAUACCGGGAGGAACGCCGAUGGCGAAGGCAGCCACCUGGUCCACUUCUGACGCUGAGGCGCGAAAGCGUGGGGAGCAAACCGGAUUAGAUACCCGCGUAGUCCCUGUCUCUUAUACA